UACGGAGGGUGCAAGCGUUACUCGGAAUCACUGGGCGUAAAGGGUGCGUAGGCUGACUUUUAAGUCAGGCGUGAAAUCCAAUGGCUUAACCAUUGAACUGCGCUUGAAACUGGGAGUCUAGAGUUCAGAAGGGGCAGAUGGAAUUAGUGGUGUAGGGGUAAAAUCCGUAGAUAUCACUAGGAAUAUCAAAAGCGAAGGCGAUCUGCUGGGAUGAUACUGACGCUGAGGCACGAAAGCGUGGGGAGCAAACAGG
rnacentral:rRNA from 1 species